UCCAGACUCCUACGGGAGGCAGCAGUGGGGGAUAUUGCACAAUGGGGGAAACCCUGAUGCAGCGACGCCGCGUGUGGGAAGACGGUCCUCUGGAUUGUAAACCACUGUCCCCAGGGACGAAGAUGACGGUACCUGGGGAGGAAGCACCGGCUAACUCCGUGCCAGCAGCCGCGGUAAUACGGAGGGUGCGAGCGUUAAUCGGAAUUACUGGGCGUAAAGCGCUCGUAGGCGGUAUGUCAAGUCAAGGGUGAAAUCCCCGCGCUCAACGUGGGAACUGCCUUUGAAACUGGCAAACUGGAGUGUGUGAGAGGAUAGUGGAAUUCCAGGUGUAGGAGUGAAAUCCGUAGAUAUCUGGAGGAACAUCAGUGGCGAAGGCGACUAUCUGGCACAUAACUGACGCUGAGGAGCGAAAGCGUGGGUAGCAAACAGGAUUAGAUACCCCCGUA
rnacentral:rRNA from 1 species